ACGUUCUUAUCUUUAAGAUGAGAAUCAGUUAGCUGUCAUACUUCCAAGAAAAGCUCGAACUACUGUAACACAUCAAGUACCUGUACCGUAAACCGACACAGGUGGGUUGGUAGAGUAUACCAAGGGGCGCGAGAUAACUCUCUCUAAGGAACUCGGCAAAAUGACCCCGUAACUUCGGGAGAAGGGGUGCCAAGUAACUCAAAUUGCUUGGUCGCAGUGACCAGGCCCUGGCGACUGUUUAUCAAAAACACAGGUCUCCGCAAAGUCGUAAGACAACAUAUGGGGGCUGACGCCUGCCCAGUGCCGGAAGGUUAAAGAAGUUGGUUAUUUAUUCGUGGAGAAGCUGACGACUGAAGCCCCGGUGAACGGCGGCCGUAACGAUAACGGUCCUAAGGUAGCGAGAUUCCUUGUCGGGUAAGUUCCGACCCGCACGAAAGGCGUAACGAUCAGGGCACUGUCUCGGAGAGAGACUCGGUGAAAUAGACAUGUCUGUGAAGAUGCGGACUACCUGCACCUGGACAGAAAGACCCUAUGAAGCUUGACUGUAGCUUGGAAUUGGGUUCGGGCUCUUCUUGCGCAGCCUAGGUGGGAGGCGUUGAAGGUUUUCUCUUGGGAAAACUGGAGCCAACAGUGAGAGACCACUCUGGAGGAGCUAGAAUUCUAAUGGCGUUCCGUGAAGCCGGACGCUUGACAGUUUCAGGUGGGCAGUUUGACUGGGGCGGUCACCUCCUAAAAGGUAACGGAGGUGUGCAAAGGUUCCCUCAGGCUGGACGGAAAUCAGCCGUAGAGUGUAAAGGCAGAAGGGAGCUUGACUGCAAGACCUACAAGUCGAGCAGGGGCGAAAGCCGGCCUUAGUGAUCCGACGGUUCCAUGUGGAAGGGCCGUCGCUCAACGGAUAAAAGUUACUCUAAGGAUAACAGGCUGAUCUUCCCCAAGAGUUCAUAUCGACGGGAAGGUUUGGCACCUCGAUGUCGGCUCAUCGCAACCUGGGGCGGUAGUACGUCCCAAGGGUUGGGCUGUUCGCCCAUGAAAGCGGUACGUGAGCUGGGUUCAGAACGUCGUGAGACAGUUCGGUCCAUAUCCGGUGUAGGCGUUAGAGCAUUGAGAGGAGCCUUCCAUAGUACGAGAGGACCUGGAAGGACGCACCUCUGGUAUACCAGUUAUCAUGCCAAUGGUACACGCUGGGUAGCCAUGUGCGGAGUGGAUAACCGCUGAAAGCAUCUAAGUGGGAAGCCCACCUCAAGAUGAGUGCUCUCCAUCAGGUCACAGGAAGACUACCUGUUUGAUAGGCAGAAGGUGUAAGGCUAGUAAUAGUUUCAGCUGAUCUGUACUAAUAGACCGAUCGAUUUU
rnacentral:rRNA from 1 species